rfam:Picea glauca, whole genome shotgun sequence.
AUAAUUAAUAUAUAACCUUAUAACAAUUGACUCAGAGUUGGUUCAGACAAGGGGAAUAUGACUAUUUAAUUAAAACAAAGAAUUGUGAAGGUCCCUGUGGAUGUUGACACAAUGUGAUUUAUGCCCAGUGUUGUGAAUGUUAAAGUGAAGAAAUUCAACCAAGCACGGGUAAACAAUGGGAGUAACUAUGACUCUCUUAAGGUAGCCAAAUGCCUCAUCAUAUAAUUAGUGAUAUAGACAUGAAUAUGGGGAUCAUUCAUGUCCAUAUCACUAAUAUA